GACCGAAUAUGACAGGCAAUUGGACGACACCCGGACCUAAUAUGACAGGCAAUUGGACGACACCCGGACCAAAUAUGACAGG